UGGUCCUUAUUUUUGCCUCAUAACACCGUGCUUUCUUCUGUUAUAUUGCUUUGUAAUUGUCUAUUUACUGGUCUGUGCCCUACCCCAAAUUAUAAGCUUCUUGAGCCGGUGAUUGUUAAAAAAACAAAAAUAAACAAAAGACUUUGUAAGUUAGAACUGUUCUCACACCUAAAUUAUUUGUAAGUACAUAUUAAUAUUUUACAUAAAAUGUUAUCCUCUAGUGAUAAAUAACACAAUAGCUAGUCUUCACUGAUUGCUCAUAAUGUAGAGGCACUAUGUAAGCACUUAAAUAAUUCCUCUCAUUCCACCAUCCACUAACCCGGGGAUGUAGAUGCCCUUAUUGUCCCCCUUUACCCAGGGAGUCAGUGCUGGUAUCUGGUAAUUGGACCCAUGAAGUCUGACAAAUGAUAUAACAUGUUUUAGCAAAGUUACAUUGUAUCUGGAAUCCACAUCACAAAACAACAUAAAAUUUUUCCCUUGAUUUUUUUCUACUAUUUUAGGUGUAUCAGCAGGCACAGAAAGUUCAAUCAAAAAAGCAACUUUCAGAACAUACCACAGAUAAAGUAAAUGAUUACCUCUUGUGUACUGCUUUUACACUUCCUGCUUCAAAGAUGAAAUUGUGUUGAAUAUAGUCUUGAUAUUAAGCUUAAAGUAUGUUUUAUUGGGAAUCUAUAAUUGGCAAUAUACAGCAAUAAAGGAUGGUACUCCAUUAACUAGAACUCCCCAUUAGUUUAUUAUUAAUAAUUAAUAACUGUCAUAUAAUAUUAAAAUACCCUAAGAGGUCUCUUGGUAUCUAGGGCACACUUUUAAGAUGCCCAACACCAGGGUCACUUUAGGAGCUUGUUGAAAACAUAGAUACUUGCGUACUACCCCAGAUCUGCUGCAUCAGAAUGUCUUGCAGGGAGCGUGGGGUGGGAGGGGGCUAGUGAUUCUUACAAUUUUGAGAACCGUGAACUAUAGCGCAAUGGUUCUCAACCACUGCUGCAUACCAGAAUCAGCAGGGGAGGCUUUUAAAAUCCCAAUGUCCAGGCCUUUCUCCUUACCAAUUAAACCAGAAUCUCUGGAGAUGAGAUCCAAACACAGGUAUUAAAGUAUUAAAAAAAAAAAAUCCCAUAAGUGUUUCCAAACUUGAGACGCACUGCUACAGAGAGAGGGCAGAUUCUUUGGGGCGGUAGAUCUUUUCUAGGGUUUUAGGGAUAGAUGGAUGUAUUCUAGGGAGGUAGAAAGCUUUCUAAACACACCCUAUUCAUGUCACUAGCUCUGUGUAAAGGCCAUGCUGCUUUGCUUCAGAAGCUGUAAAUCCAUGUGUACCCCACCCUGAAGAUUCAGGCUGGGUGGCAUGAUUCUUCUCUGCUUUUAGGGCAAGCAAAUGCUCAAGAGGCAAAAGCUCUCUGCUCCCUGCAUGGCCCCUUCUAUGGGGACACCUCAAGAGGUAGAGCCCCGAGAUGGCGGAAGGUUCUAAAGAGCUGCCUGGGUAUGUGCAGAGUGAGUUUCACUCUCAUCGAGAGCCCAUAAGCAGAUAUUCAUAGGCAGUGAAGUGCAAUUAUAAAAAGUGAUUCUCCCAAUUUUCCAGGAGACUUA
rnacentral:lncRNA from 10 species